rnacentral:rRNA from 1 species
UGCAGUCGAACGGUCCAAAGCUUAACACCGAGAACAUACUGCUUAAAGGCAGAGCGGUGGCGAAGUGAAACGAGCCAUCACGCAUACAUAAAGUGAUUAUCAAGCAAAAUGUUUUGGGUGUUGAGCUUUGGAUAGUGGCGAACGGGUGAGUAACGCGUAGGCAAUCUGCCUUCUAGAUGGGGACAACAUCCCGAAAGGGGUGCUAAUACCGAAUG